ACAAUGGAGAGUUUGAUCCUGGCUCAGGAUGAACGCUAGCGGCAGGCCUAAUACAUGCAAGUCGAACGAUACUUUCCAGCUUGCUGGAGAGGAAAGUGGCGCACGGGUGCGUAACGCGUAUGCAACCUACCUUCAUCAGGGGGAUAGCCCGGAGAAAUCCGGAUUAAUACCGCAUAAAAUCACAGGAUGGCAUUAUCCAAUGAUCAAACAUUUAUGGGAUAAAGAUGGGCAUGCGUGUCAUUAGCUAGUUGGCGGGGUAACGGCCCACCAAGGCGACGAUGACUAGGGGAUCUGAGAGGAUGACCCCCCACACUGGUACUGAGACACGGACCAGACUCCUACGGGAGGCAGCAGUAAGGAAUAUUGGUCAAUGGAGGCAACUCUGAACCAGCCAUGCCGCGUGCAGGAAGACUGCCCUAUGGGUUGUAAACUGCUUUUAUCCGGGAAUAAACCUCUGCUCGUGAGCAGAGCUGAAUGUACCGGAAGAAUAAGGAUCGGCUAACUCCGUGCCAGCAGCCGCGGUAAUACGGAGGAUCCAAGCGUUAUCCGGAUUUAUUGGGUUUAAAGGGUGCGUAGGCGGCCUAUUAAGUCAGGGGUGAAAGACGGUAGCUCAACUAUCGCAGUGCCCUUGAUACUGAUGGGCUUGAAUGGACUAGAGGUAGGCGGAAUGAGACAAGUAGCGGUGAAAUGCAUAGAUAUGUCUCAGAACACCGAUUGCGAAGGCAGCUUACUAUGGUGUUAUUGACGCUGAGGCACGAAAGCGUGGGGAUCAAACAGGAUUAGAUACCCUGGUAGUCCACGCCCUAAACGAUGAACACUCGCUGUUAGCGAUAUACAGUUAGCGGCUAAGCGAAAGCGCUUAAGUAUUCCACCUGGGGAGUACGCCCGCAAGGGUGAAACUCAAAGGAAUUGACGGGGCCCGCACAAGCGGUGGAGCAUGUGGUUUAAUUCGAUGCAACGCGAAGAACCUUGCCUGGUCUUGACAUCCACAGAACUUAGCAGAGAUGCUUUGGUGCCUUCGGGAACUGUGAGACAGGUGCUGCAUGGCUGUCGUCAGCUCGUGUUGUGAAAUGUUGGGUUAAGUCCCGCAACGAGCGCAACCCUUAUCCUUUGUUGCCAGCGGUCCGGCCGGGAACUCAAAGGAGACUGCCAGUGAUAAACUGGAGGAAGGUGGGGAUGACGUCAAGUCAUCAUGGCCCUUACGAGUAGGGCUACACACGUGCUACAAUGGCGCAUACAAAGAGAAGCGACCUCGCGAGAGCAAGCGGACCUCAUAAAGUGCGUCGUAGUCCGGAUUGGAGUCUGCAACUCGACUCCAUGAAGUCGGAAUCGCUAGUAAUCGUAGAUCAGAAUGCUACGGUGAAUACGUUCCCGGGCCUUGUACACACCGCCCGUCACACCAUGGGAGUGGGUUGCAAAAGAAGUAGGUAGCUUAACCUUCGGGAGGGCGCUUACCACUUUGUGAUUCAUGACUGGGGUGAAGUCGUAACAAGGUAACCGUAGGGGAACCUGCGGUUGGAUCACCUCCUUA
rnacentral:rRNA from 1 species